CAAGUCGUACGCACUGGCCCAACUGAUUGAUGGUGCUUGCACCUGAUUGACGAUGGAUCACCAGUGAGUGGCGGACGGGUGAGUAACACGUAGGUAACCUGCCCCGGAGCGGGGGAUAACAUUUGGAAACAGAUGCUAAUACCGCAUAACAACAAAAGCCACAUGGCUUUUGUUUGAAAGAUGGCUUUGGCUAUCACUCUGGGAUGGACCUGCGGUGCAUUAGCUAGUUGGUAAGGUAACGGCUUACCAAGGCGAUGAUGCAUAGCCGAGUUGAGAGACUGAUCGGCCACAAUGGAACUGAGACACGGUCCAUACUCCUACGGGAGGCAGCAGUAGGGAAUCUUCCACAAUGGGCGCAAGCCUGAUGGAGCAACACCGCGUGAGUGAAGAAGGGUUUCGGCUCGUAAAGCUCUGUUGUUGGAGAAGAACGUGCGUGAGAGUAACUGUUCAUGCAGUGACGGUAUCCAACCAGAAAGUCACGGCUAACUACGUGCCAGCAGCCGCGGUAAUACGUAGGUGGCAAGCGUUAUCCGGAUUUAUUGGGCGUAAAGCGAGCGCAGGCGGUUGCUUAGGUCUGAUGUGAAAGCCUUCGGCUUAACCGAAGAAGUGCAUCGGAAACCGGGCGACUUGAGUGCAGAAGAGGACAGUGGAACUCCAUGUGUAGCGGUGGAAUGCGUAGAUAUAUGGAAGAACACCAGUGGCGAAGGCGGCUGUCUGGUCUGCAACUGACGCUGAGGCUCGAAAGCAUGGGUAGCGAACAGGAUUAGAUACCCUGGUAGUCCAUGCCGUAAACGAUGAGUGCUAGGUGUUGGAGGGUUUCCGCCCUUCAGUGCCGGAGCUAACGCAUUAAGCACUCCGCCUGGGGAGUACGACCGCAAGGUUGAAACUCAAAGGAAUUGACGGGGGCCCGCACAAGCGGUGGAGCAUGUGGUUUAAUUCGAAGCUACGCGAAGAACCUUACCAGGUCUUGACAUCUUGCGCUAACCUUAGAGAUAAGGCGUUCCCUUCGGGGACGCAAUGACAGGUGGUGCAUGGUCGUCGUCAGCUCGUGUCGUGAGAUGUUGGGUUAAGUCCCGCAACGAGCGCAACCCUUGUUACUAGUUGCCAGCAUUAAGUUGGGCACUCUAGUGAGACUGCCGGUGACAAACCGGAGGAAGGUGGGGACGACGUCAGAUCAUCAUGCCCCUUAUGACCUGGGCUACACACGUGCUACAAUGGACGGUACAACGAGUCGCAAACUCGCGAGAGUAAGCUAAUCUCUUAAAGCCGUUCUCAGUUCGGACUGUAGGCUGCAACUCGCCUACACGAAGUCGGAAUCGCUAGUAAUCGCGGAUCAGCAUGCCGCGGUGAAUACGUUCCCGGGCCUUGUACACACCGCCCGUCACACCAUGGGAAGUUUGUAACGCCCAAAAGU
rnacentral:rRNA from 2 species